rnacentral:rRNA from 1 species
GACGAACGCUGGCGGCGUGCUUAACACAUGCAAGUCGAGCGAUGAAACACCUUCGGGUGCGGAUUAGCGUCGGACGGGUGAGGAACACGUGAGGAAUCUGCCUUCCACUCUGGGAUAACUCCGGGAAACCGGGGCUAAUACCGGAUACUUUCAACUGGCGGCAUCGCCGGUUGAAGAAAGUUUUUCGGUGGAAGAUGACCUCGCGGCCUAUCAGCUUGUUGGUGAGGUAAAGGCUCACCAAGGCGACGACGGGUAGCCGGCCUGAGAGGGCGACCGGCCACACUGGGACUGAGACACGGCCCAGACUCCUACGGGAGGCAGCAGUGGGGAAUAUUGGGCAAUGGAGGAAACUCUGACCCAGCGACGCCGCGUGAGGGAUGAAGGCCUUCGGGUUGUAAACCUCUUUCAGCAGGGAAUAAGCGAAAGUGAAGGUACCUGCAGAAGAAGCACCGGCUAACUAUGUGCCAGCAGCCGCCGCAG